rnacentral:rRNA from 1 species
AUUGAACGCUGGCGGCAGGCCUAACACAUGCAAGUCGAACGGUAACAGGAAGCAGCUUGCUGCUUUGCUGACGAGUGGCGGACGGGUGAGUAAUGUCUGGGAAACUGCCCGAUGGAGGGGGAUAACUACUGGAAACGGUAGCUAAUACCGCAUAACGUCGCAAGACCAAAGAGGGGGACCUUAGGGCCUCUUGCCAUCGGAUGUGCCCAGAUGGGAUUAGCUAGUAGGUGGGGUAACGGCUCACCUAGGCGACGAUCCCUAGCUGGUCUGAGAGGAUGACCAGCCACACUGGAACUGAGACACGGUCCAGACUCCUACGGGAGGCAGCAGUGGGGAAUAUUGCACAAUGGGCGCAAGCCUGAUGCAGCCAUGCCGCGUGUAUGAAGAAGGCCUUCGGGUUGUAAAGUACUUUCAGCGGGGAGGAAGGGAGUAAAGUUAAUACCUUUGCUCAUUGACGUUACCCGCAGAAGAAGCACCGGCUAACUCCGUGCCAGCAGCCGCGGUAAUACGGAGGGUGCAAGCGUUAAUCGGAAUUACUGGGCGUAAAGCGCACGCAGGCGGUUUGUUAAGUCAGAUGUGAAAUCCCCGGGCUCAACCUGGGAACUGCAUCUGAUACUGGCAAGCUUGAGUCUCGUAGAGGGGGGGUAGAAUUCCAGGUGUAGCGGUGAAAUGCGUAGAGAUCUGGAGGAAUACCGGUGGCGAAGGCGGCCCCCUGGACGAAGACUGACGCUCAGGUGCGAAAGCGUGGGGAGCAAACAGG